rnacentral:rRNA from 1 species
UCGAUUUGGAGUUUGUUGCCUAGAGUGAUGGGCUCCGAAGCUAACGCGAUAAAUCGACCGCCUGGGGAGUACGGCCGCAAGGUUAAAACUCAAAUGAAUUGACGGGGGCCCGCACAAGCGGUGGAGCAUGUGGUUUAAUUCGAUGCAACGCGAAGAACCUUACCUGGUCUUGACAUCCACAGAAUCUUGCAGAGAUGCGAGAGUGCCUUCGGGAACUGUGAGACAGGUGCUGCAUGGCUGUCGUCAGCUCGUGUUGUGAAAUGUUGGGUUAAGUCCCGCAACGAGCGCAACCCUUAUCCUUUGUUGCCAUCGGUUAGGCCGGGAACUCAAAGGAGACUGCCGUUGAUAAAGCGGAGGAAGGUGGGGACGACGUCAAGUCAUCAUGGCCCUUACGACCAGGGCUACACACGUGCUACAAUGGCGUAUACAAAGGGAGGCGACCUCGCGAGAGCAAGCGGACCUCAUAAAGUACGUCUAAGUCCGGAUUGGAGUCUGCAACUCGACUCCAUGAAGUCGGAAUCGCUAGUAAUCGUGAAUCAGAAUGUCACGGUGAAUACGUUCCCGGGCCU